GACGAACGCUGGCGGCGUGCUUAACACAUGCAAGUCGAACGGAAAGGCGCUGCUCUUGCGGGGUGCUCGAGGGGAGAAGGGGUGAGUAACACGUGAGUAACCUGCCCUUGACUUUGGGAUAACGUCAGGAAACUGGGGCUAAUACAGGAUAGGAGCUCCUGCUGCAGGGUGGGGGAUGGGAAGUUGAGGAGGUUGGGGCUGGACUCGCGGCUUAUCAGCUUGUUGGGGGAGUAGUGGCUUACCCAGGCUUUGACGGGUAGUCGGCCUGAGAGGUUGACCGGCCACAUGACGACUGAGAUACGGCCCAGUCGCCUACUGUAGGCAGCAGUGGGGAAUAUUGCACAAUGGGCGGAAGCCUGAUGCAGCGACGCCGCGUUCGGAAUGACGGCCUGCUGGGUGUAAACCGCUUUCGCCUGAUACGAAGCGGGAGUGACGGUAAUGGGUAAAUAAGCACCGGCUAACUACGUG
rnacentral:rRNA from 1 species